UUAGGAAUCUUCCACAAUGGGCGAAAGCCUGAUGGAGCGACGCCGCGUGAGGGAUGAAGGCCUUAGGGUUGUAAACCUCUAAAAGAGGGACGAUAAUGACGGUACCUCUUGAAUAGCACCGGCUAACUCCGUGCCAGCAGCCGCGGUAAUACGGAGGGUGCAAGCGUUAUCCGGAAUCACUGGGCGUAAAGGGCGCGUAGGCGGUCUGUUAAGUCCGAUGUUAAAUCCCGGGGCUCAACCCCGGAUAAGCGUUGGAUACUGGCAGGCUAGACGGUUGGAGAGGCGAGUGGAAUUACCAGUGUAGCGGUGGAAUGCGUAGAUACUGGUAGGAACACCCAUUGCGAAGGCAGCUCGCUGAACAACACGUGACGCUGAGGCGCGAAAGUGUGGGGAGCAAACC
rnacentral:rRNA from 1 species